rnacentral:rRNA from 1 species
GACGAACGCUGGCGGCGUGCUUAACACAUGCAAGUCGAACGGAAAGGCCUGCUUUCCCUUGUGGAUUGCGGGUACUCGAGUGGCGAACGGGUGAGUAACACGUGAGUGAUCUGCCCCCAACUUGGGUAUAAGCCUGGGAAACUGGGUCUAAUUCCCGAUAGGACUGCAGGGUGGUGCCUGUGGUGGAAAACGAUUUUCUAGUGGUUGGGGAUGAGCUCGCGGCCUAUCAGCUUGUUGGUGGGGUAAUGGCCUACCAAGGCGGCGACGGGUAGCCGGCCUGGGAGGGUGGACGGCCACAUUGGGACUGAGAUACGGCCCAGACUCCUACGGGAGGCAGCAGUGGGGAAUAUUGCACAAUGGGCGGAAGCCUGAUGCAGCGACGCCGCGUGGGGGAUGACGGCCUUCGGGUUGUAAACUCCUUUCGACCGCGAGGAAGCCACCUGGUUGGAAGGGUGGUGACGGUAGUGGUAGAAGGAGCACCGGCUAACUACGUG